UACGAAGGGGGCGAGCGUUGUUCGGAUUUACUGGGCGUAAAGGGCGCGUAGGCGGCGCGAGAAGUCGAGUGUGAAAGCCCCGGGCUCAACCUGGGAAUUGCGCUCGAUACUCUAGUGCUUGAGUUCGGGAGAGGAGCGUGGAAUUCCCAGUGUAGAGGUGAAAUUCGUAGAUAUUGGGAAGAACACCGGUGGCGAAGGCGGCGCUCUGGACCGAGACUGACGCUGAGGCGCGAAAGCUAGGGGAGCAAACAGG
rnacentral:rRNA from 1 species